UACGGGGGGGGCAAGCGUUGUCCGGAAUCAUUGGGCGUAAAGCGCGCGUAGGCGGCCAGAUAAGUCCGGUGUGAAAGCCACAGGCUCAACCUGUGAAUGCCGCUGGAAACUGUCUGGCUAGAGUCCGGGAGGGGCGAGUGGAAUUCCUGGUGUAGCGGUGAAAUGCGCAGAUAUCGGGAAGAACACCCGUGGCGAAGGCGGUUCUCUGGGACGGUACUGACGCUGAGGCGCGAAAGCGUGGGGAGCAAACAGG
rnacentral:rRNA from 1 species